GUGCCAGCCGCGGCGGUAAUACGGAGGGUGCAAGCGUUAAUCGGAAUUACUGGGCGUAAAGCGCACGCAGGCGGUCUGACAAGUCGGAUGUGAAAUCCCCGGGCUCAACCCGGGAACUGCAUUCGAAACUGUCGGGCUAGGAAGUACUUAGUAAGAGGGGGGUAGAAUUCCAGGUGUAGCGGUGAAAUGCGUAGAGAUCUGGAGGAAUACCGGUGGCGAAGGCGGCCCCCCUGGACAAAGACUGACGCUCAGGUGCGAAAGCGUGGGGAGCAAACAGGAUUAGAUACCCUGGUAGUCCACGCUGUAAACGAUGUCGACUUGGAGGUUGUGCCCUUGAGGCGUGGCUUCCGGAGCUAACGCGUUAAGUCGACCGCCUGGGGAGUACGGCCGCAAGGGUUAAAACUCAAAUGAAUUGACGGGGGCCCGCACAAGCGGUGGAGCAUGUGGUUUAAUUCGAUGCAACGCGAAGAACCUUACCUGGUCUUGACAUCCACAGAAGUUUUCAGAGAUGAGAAUGUGCCUUCGGGAACUGUGAGACAGGUG
rnacentral:rRNA from 1 species